ACCGGGACCGACAGCAAUAUGAAGGCCAGGCUGAAGACUUUGCCGGAUUAGCUGAGAGGUGGUGCAUGGCCGUCGUCAGUUCGUACUGUGAAGCAUCCUGUUAAGUCAGGCAACGAGCGAGACCCACGCCCACAGUUGCCAGCGUACUCUCUGGAGUGACGGGUACACUGUGGGACCGCCGCUGCUAAAGCGGAGGAAGGAAUGGGCAACGGUAGGUCAGUAUGCCCCGAAUAUCCCGGGCUACACGCGAGCUACAAUGGUUGGUACAAUGGGUAUCUACCCCGAAAGGGGACGGGAAUCUCCUAAAACCAAUCUUAGUUCGGAUUGAGGGCUGCAACUCGCCCUCAUGAAGCUGGAAUCCGUAGUAAUCGCGUUUCAACAGAACGCGGUGAAUACGUCCCUGCUCCUU
rnacentral:rRNA from 1 species